CGCCUAAACCCUGAAUUUAUUUCAGGGCAUGGCAAUUAAACCCAUACAAGAUAUUGAACCUGUCGUUCAGCUAUCCUUGUAUGGUCGUAUCUCGAAAGGGGUACGGGUGUCGCAAGACACC
rnacentral:sRNA from 1 species